rnacentral:sRNA from 1 species
UCGCUUAAAAAUGAAGCCUGCGAACCUU